UCCCUGGUGGUCCAGUGGUUAGGAUUCAGUGCUUUAACUGUUGUGACCUGGGUUCAAACCCUGGUUGGUGAG
rnacentral:tRNA from 1 species